rnacentral:rRNA from 1 species
UACAGAGACUGCAAGCGUUAUUCGGAUUCACUGGGCGUAAAGGGUGCGCAGGCGGCCAAGUGUGUGAGGCGUGAAAGCCUGGGGCUUAACCCCAGAAUUGCACCUCAAACUACUUGGCUAGAGCAUUGGAGAGGGUAGCAGAAUUCAUGGUGUAGCAGUGAAAUGCGUAGAUAUCAGGAGGAACAUCCGUGGCGAAGGCGGCUCUCUGGGACGGUACUGACGCUGAGACGCGAAAGCGUGGGGAGCGAUCCGG